AGCGAACGCUGGCGGCAGGCCUAACACAUGCAAGUCGAACGAAGUCUUCGGACUUAGUGGCGGACGGGUGAGUAACACGUGGGAACGUGCCUUUAGGUUCGGAAUAACUCAGGGAAACUUGUGCUAAUACCGAAUGUGCCCUUCGGGGGAAAGAUUUAUCGCCUUUAGAGCGGCCCGCGUCUGAUUAGCUAGUUGGUGAGGUAAAGGCUCACCAAGGCUACGUUCAGUAGCUGGUCUGAGAGGAUGACCAGCCACAUUGGGACUGAGACACGGGCCGGACUCCUACGGGAGGCAGCAGUGGGGAAUCUUGCGCAAGGGGCGAAAGCCUGACGCAGCCAUGCCGCGUAGAUGAUGAAGGUCUUAGGAUUGUAAAAUCCUUUCACCGGUGAAGAUAAUGACUGUAGCCGGAGAAGAAGCCCCGGCUAACUUCGUGCCAGCAGCCGCCGUAAGAC
rnacentral:rRNA from 1 species